AGUCGAACGCCCUCUUCGGAGGGAGUGGCAGACGGGUGAGUAACGCGUGGGAAUCUACCUAGUGGUGGAGGAUAACUUCGGGAAACCGGAGCUAAUACUCCAUAAGCCCUUCGGGGGAAAGUUUUUUCGCCAUUAGAUGAGCCCGCGUUAGAUUAGCUUGUUGGUAGGGUAAUGGCCUACCAAGGCGACGAUCUAUGGCUGGUCUGAGAGGAUGAUCAGCCACACUGGAACUGAGACACGGUCCAGACUCCUACGGGAGGCAGCAGUGGGGAAUAUUGCACAAUGGGCGCAAGCCUGAUGCAGCCAUGCCGCGUGUGUGAUGAAGGCCUUAGGGUUGUAAAACACUUUCAUCGGUGAAGAUAAUGACGGUAGCCGAAGAAGAAGCCCCGGCUAACUCCGUGCCAGCAGCCGCGGUAAUACGGAGGGGGCAAGCGUUGUUCGGAAUUACUGGGCGUAAAGCGCACGUAGGCGGACUGAUCAGUUGGGGGUGAAAUCCCGAGGCUUAACCUCGGAACUGCCUUCAAUACUGUCAGUCUUGAGAUCGGAAGAGGUGAGUGGAAUUCCUAGUGUAGAGGUGAAAUUCGUAGAUAUUAGGAAGAACACCAGUGGCGAAGGCGGCUCACUGGUCCGAUACUGACGCUGAGGUGCGAAAGCGUGGGGAGCGAACAGGAUUAGAUACCCUGGUAGUCCACGCCGUAAACGAUGAGAGCUAGCCGUCGGACAGUAUACUGUUCGG
rnacentral:rRNA from 1 species